rnacentral:rRNA from 1 species
GACGAACCGAGCGAACGUUGUUCGGAAUCACUGGGCUUAAAGGGUGCGUAGGAGGGCAGGUAAGUCAGUGGUGAAAUCCCCGAGCUUAACUUGGGAACUGCCGUUGAUACUAUCUGUCUUGAAUACCGUGGAGAUGAGCGGAAUAUGUCAUGUAGCGGUGAAAUGCUUAGAUAUGACAUAGAACACCAAUUGCGAAGGCAGCUCGUUACACGAAUAUUGACUCUGAGGCACGAAAGCGUGGGGAUCAAACAGG